UUAGAUUUGAGAAGGGUCAGUGCUAUCCGGGAUCAUUGGGAAGUCCCUACAUCAUUGAAGUGGACAUUUAAAACGGUUAAUGGUAAGGUUAAGGUGAGGGUUUAGUGUAGGGACGUCCCAAGGACCCCGGAUAGCAUUGGCCGUUUGAGAAGUGCGCUCCUCUCACUGCUUUUGCCGGUUCACUGUAACGGGCCAUAGACCUGUGCACCGCAUAUCAGGUUAAUAGAACGGCCUCAAAAGCGAUUAAGGAAAGUUUCCAACCGUGUCACGGCGGUCAAAGCACCUAUUUCCCCUAAAACCUUUGUCGCGUUAAAAAAAAAAAAGGCAAUUCGGAUGCAUCCGUCUUCAGUGCGUCCACGACAACUGGGAACUCGGAAAGAAAUAGCUCCGACUGAGUAAAAUCGUUUUGAACGGUCAUCCAAAGAAAAUCACUGACGUCAUGAUUUGACCACGUUUUGUACGAGUUACCAGUUGACUUGAAAGCACCAUACAUUCUCGGAGCUACACUAGAGGACACGGUUAUCGGUAAUAUUACAGCAACAAAGCCAUCCGGACGCGUGGAGGCAAACUGAGAAUGACUACCACAUGAGCGAGAAUACCGGGGAGAGGCUCAUUUAACGCAUCCAAAGCAGAUCACUCAGGGGAUGAGGGCUCUUUGGCGCAGUCCGUGAGAGAUGAGGUGAAAGCUGGAUUAGUUAAAUAAGGACCCUCGGUAAAUCUUACGGAGAAACAGGGGACAGUAGCGGGGCUAACCUCUGCGGACAAACCGGAGGAGGACAGUGAAUGCCGAUUCGUGGGGAAGAUAACGGAUCCGGUGGCAGCGGACAGGAGGACAGUUUGGGAGGAGGGGAUCCACGCUGCUGAAGUUAGGAUCCACGCUGGCGCGCACGAGGAAAAUGUGAAAUCUGGCAUGUCUGGCCAACAGUGCUGUAACUCAAAUCCUGCCUCAGCGCCGGUGGACAUUCCAUGAAGUGACUUUGGUCACCUACAGUUCCCUGAGGGGUGGUCUUUUCUCUUAGCAGAUAUGGAAGAAGUGGACGCAGAAUAUGCGCCCAUGAAAUACGCCCCCAGGAUGCUGCGGACCAGACAGAUGGAGAUGAUGAAGAGCUGGAGAAGGAACAGAGGGUGCAACGGGAGCAGCUGGCAGCCAUCUUCCAGCUGCUGAAGGAGAACCAGGAGAUGUUUGGGGAGAUGUCAGAGGGAGACAUGGAGGAGCAACUCUACUCCAUCUAAACCCCUAGUCUACUCACAGUCGACUGUACUACGUCUAACUCUACUUUUCCCAAACUCUACUCUAUGUUAAUCCCACAUAAAACUGACAAUCAAGACCAAGGUGCAUUCACACGGUCCACUGGGUUUCAAAGGGGGUGUUGUUUCAAAGGUCCACUCUAUUUUGAGGCACAUACUCUUCUCUAAAGAUUCUGAGGUGAUAGCUAAUCAGGCUUUGGAUAGUUGGGCCUGAGUGAUUUGAUUGGUCUGGUAAAAUCUGAGGUUCUUAUACCGUAGACACCCAUGAAAGCCAACAGUUUCAGCAAGCCUCACAUCAAACACUUAUCUGGACAGAUCUUACUCCUUUCAGCUAUUCCUUGCCUUGCCUCGGCCGUAUCCUUAUCUCACCCUUUCCUAUGGAGCACCCUUUCCCUCUAGACCCCUCUGUUUGAACAAACACAUCAUUGGUGCGAACACAAACAUGUACGUUAGAUACUUC
rnacentral:lncRNA from 1 species